GUGGACAUUUGUCUGUUCGUUGAUGAUGUGCUUGUGAUAAUUGUACGCGUUAUUCAUUGGCAUCUUGUGUUCUCAUUGCUUUGGAUUUGCUCUUCAUUUAGGAUUUUAGUUUUGUAAGGAUUAAAUUUGCAGAGAGAUUUUUUUAGUUUAAUGAGGUUUUGUUGUGUAUAUUGUACUAUAUUGAUAUUGCGUGACUGUUCAUCACUGAAAUUCUUUUUCUAGCAAGACUUAAACAUAUUUGGAGAUAUAUUUGUUGCAUAUGUGUGUGUAGGUGGCGAGUACAUGUAUAUAUUUACUGAUGUUCAUGUAUACUUAAUUAUGUAGAUACCAGGAUAUUAAACAUCAUCCUUGGAGCGUGACAUCAAAGGCGACAACAAUUAAAAGUAACAAAUGAAAGCAAAAUAUCACAAACAACACUAACGAUUACACCAACAGUAAUAUCAAAAGCAAAAUAUAUAUCAAUACUAACAAGAAUAGGAAGAUGUUCUACAGUACCAGAAGGAGCAUUCAGUUGUAUCAACCCAUACUCCCUAAUCCCAGUGGCAAUCCCAUAAAAAAUCAACUCUUAGACCUUUAGCAACCACCAGCACCACCAACAACAUAAUCACUACCACCACCACCACUACUACUACUCGCACCAUUAGCACCACCAUCACGACCACCACCAUAAAGUGAAUCAUUUGGAACUUCAUCAGUAUUUGCAGCUGACACCACCCUACUGAUAAUCAAGGUGAUCCAUGUGAAUCCAAGUCUUAUUGAUUUCACUUUGUCGCAGAAACCCUGAGAAAGUCAUCAAUAAAACCAACCCGUUUCCUUCUUAGUAAACCAUAAAGGAAAUAUGUUGCACAUUAAAAGGUGAUUUUCUUAGUAAAUUAAUCGUGUUUAUCAAUCGUUGAAGCGAUAUAUAUACCACUGAAUGGCAAAAUUGUCUCAUGGUACGAAUGCUCCGGCUUAAUAAAGUUACCACAAUAUUAUACCAAAUAUCAAUGGUUCGAAUUAGUGCCGUUCCUGUUCAGCUGGAGAAGUGCUUCAACUAUCAAUAUAUCAAUAGUUCCAGUGAUUGAAAACAGUAGUCUAUGUGGUUAUAUGGUUAAAAUAAAAGUAAUUAAAUAAUGU